ACAUUUGCUUCUUCCGGGUUUAACUCGUACUGGUGAUAUAAUGUUUACAGUGAUAGUGUAUAUCUGUCAUCGGCUAGAAAAUAAUCAUUACAUGUGCAUGUGAUUAAAUGAUGAAAACGGUAUAUGUGUCAUGGAUUUACAUUUUACUUCUGUCUCAGAUGAACGUGACGUUAUCCCUGACAGUAAACUCGUUUAUCUUGACAAAUGAAAACCCUGAAAAAGGUAGCAAUAUCAUUAUGAAAUGUAGUUAUACAAUCUUAGCUAGUGACGGUCUUCAAACACUGACUGUCUCAAAGGAGAGUACCCAAUUUGCAAGCUGUUUUGUCAUUUACGGCAGAAUGGCAUCAUGCAGCAUUGAUUCUGGAAUUCCGAAUAAUUAUUACGCCAGGAAUAGUACAGUAACAGGGAUAGAAUUCAAGAUUUCAAAUGUACAGAUAUCAGAUGAUGGCAAUUGGAUUUGUGGAUUUAGAACACAGCCUGGAGAUGCACUCUCAUUAAACGUGACUGUAUAUGUUAAAGUUACUACAGUUACUAUUAUUGAUGGAAAUGUUUCACCGCAGAGUGAUGAUAUCAUUGAGGUAACGGGGAAUGAGGCGAAAACCUUGACUUGUAGGACAGGCGUUAGUAACCCAUCAUCAACUAUUUUAUGGUAUAUUAGUGGUCUGAUGAAACAAAAUGGAACUGAUGUCAACUUUGUAUUUACUCCUACAAACGAUAAUCAUAAUCAAAGGAUAUAUUGUAAAGCAUAUAACAUACAGCCACCGGCGGAAGCUGUUGUGUCAGCUAAACCAAAGCUAUUUGUAAAAGUUUUAGCGUCAACACCAUCGCUUACAAACUGGACAUCAGGCAGUCCUGAUUUGUUCUCCGGUGAACAAGUCACUUUGAGUUGUAAAUCAUCACCUACAAGGCCUGCUGUUACUGUAAAAUGGAAGAAAGGAUCAUCCCCUUUACUGACUGUACAUACUACAACCAGUACAAAUAACGUGGGAUUGAUGACUGUACUGAGUACAGUUACAUUUACUCUACAGAAAAGCGACAAUGGCAAACUAAUUUCAUGUGAAACCUACAUCACAAAUCAAAGUCCGCAGAAAGUGCAACAGUCAGUUUCAGUCUGGUGGCCACCAACCACACCUUCUAUUCCCACCGACAGUUUUCCUUGGCUAGAAGGACAGCAAGGAAAAACACUUAACUGUAGAACCAGUGACCAUGGCAACCCAGAAGCAGAUGUAUUGUGGGCAUCAUCGAUUGGCACACCAGCAUCAAGAAUACUAAACCUUCCGAAACUAACUCAGUAUUACAAUGGAUUAAGUGUUUCCUGUCAGCUGAGCAACAAACACACGCAAAAGAUGAGUGAAAAAGUUCAGUCUGAGAUUAUAAAUCUGGAUAUCAUGUAUAAACCAGAUGUAUUUAUACGCAUUGGCAACGUGGAAAGAUACAGUGUUGUAAAGAAUCAGGGUGAGAAUCUUACAGCUGUAUGUAGUGCAAAUGGAAACCCUGUACCUACCGUAUCUUGGCAAGACAGAACCCCUGGCAAUCCCAAACUUGAAUUAACAAACAUUGACAGAAAUAAUCAUAGAUUUUACAGGUGUUCAGCAAAGGCUUCCUCAUCUUCUUACCCUAGUUAUGACUUUUCAAAUGAAACAACACUAGAUCUUACGGUUAACUAUGAAGCAUCUAUUACAUCCUUCUUCAUAGAAGGACAUCGAGGGCAGACGCAUGUGACUGUAGACGAGAAUGAUGAAGGUAUACAGUUUAUCUGUGAAGUUGAUAGUAAUCCGGCUUCAACUGUAAAAAUUUUGUUUCAUGACGUUGUAUUGAAAAGAAGAUCGAACACUAAACAAAUUUCAUUCAAUAAAAGUCAUAUGGCAUGUCUUGAUGGUGGUGAAUAUACAUGUGAAGGAAACAAUCAGUAUGGACAACUGUCUAAGAAAAGCAUCAAGCUUUUUGUCAGUUGUUCUCCCCGUCCACUUCAUCAGAUGAGACAGAAUAUUACAAGUGCUCUUCACGUUCCAGUCACAUUAAGUUUUACAGCUCUAGCUUACCCACAACCAGGCAUAAAAGGCUUUGCAUGGUUCAAAGAAAAUGAUAUGGAUUGGGCACCGGUACUGAGCAACGCGGACUUGCAUAUUUCUUCAUCUGCAUUACAGUCAAAUUUGACUAUCUUAAAUGUAUCAAAGCCAGACUAUGGACGCUAUAGACUAACUGUCAAAAACGACCUUGGCAAUUAUGUACAACAUUUAUUUCUUCACGAAGAAGUAGCAGCGGAAGAGGAAACCUGCGCAAGAUGCUGUAAAAUGGAAACGGAAAACACUUCUGAAUCAGUAAUCAUUGGAAUUGUUCUUGGAGUGGUUGUUGCUGUCCUUGCAAUUUAUGCAACAUCAAUCUCAAUUCUGUAUAAAAGAAAAACUACAAGUACUACAAAAACUACAAGUACUACAAAAACUAUAAUAAAGAAAUCAGUAAAUACUAAAAUGAUAAUAAACAGUGUUUGCUUGUGAUGGUACGUAAAGUCGUACAGGAUCGUUAUAGAUCAUGGAUCUAUUGCCAAACCAUUGUGGAAAAUGUUGCAAGUAUGUGACAAACAUAACCAAGAAUUAGUCGUCAGAGAGUCUACGCAAAUGACGUAUGUGAAUGUCGCAUAUAAACCAAAUGUGCAAGAAGGUCCAAACAAAGAUGGAACAACUGAAGCUAAGGCUGAUGAAGCUCAACAGUAUACAGAUCUAGCU
rnacentral:misc_RNA from 1 species